CCUUCCUCAAGCUUUGCCUGUGAUUGCUCCUCCUCCUCCUUCGUCACCAUCCUCGCCAGAAACUGACAGGCUGGUGCGAAUGGAUUGGCUUGUAUCUGAUUUGGAAUGAAUGUGCAGGUAAUUUGAAGUCUUGUUUGCGGUUCGCUAAUUUCGGUUUUCAGUGUGCUGCAGAGUCGAUUGCAACGAUUGUUGUGUAUCGAUAGCCGAAGUGAAAGUCUCUUUCUGCUUAUUUAUGAUCAUACUCUGCCUGAAAAAGUAUUACAAACGGUAUAAGCAGCUUGCUGUGCAAGGAAAUAGUUACUUAUUAUAUUUAUCGGAUCUCGAUCGAUGCUUUUUUGUGGUGAAAAAGAGUAUUGGUCGCCACCAAUUCCAGUGCAACUUUUUUUGUAUUCUGCGUGCAAUGGCUUCAGGAAUUGUGUUGGUUGCUUUCAAUAGGAGGAAUAACUUAUUUCUGACGCUGUCAGUCGGAUGAUGGGGAUGAAGAAUAGCAUCAGCAGGCCGCUGGAGGCCCCAACGAGACUGAAAGUUGAAUGGAUGUUGAAAGCGAAGCCCCGCUGCCACACAGAGACCGACAUUCAAUUUGUGGAAGCGUCGUGUCCGACUUGACUGUGCUUUCCGCUGACAUUUCUACAUUCAAAGUACUCUUUGUACGAGAGUUGUAGGCGCACACAAACGAAAGGAUAUUGGAAAAUGUCACCCCCAAUGGUCCUCCAGGUUUGUAUGGAAAUUCGAGGCGGGUUUGCCUAUAACACAGAUAUGAAUCUUUCACCCUUUUUCUCAAAGUCUCGAGCGACGCUGGAGCUGAGGGGAUAUUUACGGUCACAUUUCUGUCUUAUUAAUUGGCCGCAUGCACGAACCUGAAUCCUGCCAAGGAGUCUCCUGCAUUCCGUUCUCCCCCUCCACCCAGGUCGGAACCGGGGCCGGGUCAGUGCAGGUGUGAAUAGUUGCCGUUCACCUGCCGCCAGGACAGGAUCGCAGGGAGAGAGAGAGAGAAGGAUUUCUGUGAGCAGCAGCUGUUCAGCUGCCAGCGACAUGUUUAGCGACAAUUUGCCAGGAUGCCAUGCAAUUUGCUUGGCCAGGAGCCCGCUGCUGCUCCCUUUUGGCUGGCAGCUUUUGAUUGAUGACGACCGGGUUCUGCUUGCUGCAAUUGAAAGUGCAUCUCAAUUAGGAGGCCGCCCUGGUGGACCUUCGACUGCCUCAACCCCAACCCCUCACUGCAGUGCACGCGUCUCCUUCUGUGAGCGGUUCAGUGGAGGAGCGAGCGCGAGUGUGUGGGGCAGUAAAAGUAACUCCAUUUGUAUGGCAAUCCAUGUACACGUCGAUAUCGCCGACAGCCAGUCUUGCAGCAGGUGCAGCCACAGCCGCAGUCGGAGCCACCGUUUGUGGCUAUCGGCUAUAUUGAUGGCUAACAAGUUUGGCUCUGGGAAAGUAGGUGAGGAGCAUCUGAAUGGCAUGAAUAGUAAUUCAAUUUUCUAUUAAUUGUUAUGCGACUGCAUUAUUUACGAGUCUAUGCCACAGGGGGAAACCUCUGCCAAGAAUCUCCAUCGCCAUCAACUAUAGCUGCCUUUGAUCUGCUCUCCGGGUGAUCUCAACUGUCAGAGCUGGCCAGACCCAGAUCCAGAUCCUUUUAAUCAGCAUCAACACUCUCCUCCUAUCCGCUUGGCAGGGUGCUGCCCUUUGAAGUGCUGCUGAGAGUGGAAAUAAAGCUGUUUGGACAUCUUA